AUGCCCGAGGAAAGAGCUGAACAGGAACGUGUACCUGUACUUCUACUGAAACUUAACGACACUGCUCCUCAAAGAAAGACGGUUAUUAUACUACUGCACAACUCUUACAAAUGCAAGGAAUGGUUGUGUCCACUGCUUCAGGCACUGAACUCAUCUUGGAGGAGUGGGAAAACUAUACCUUUCAUUUUUACACGAAAUUGGUGGUUGCUGGUAAGCUGGUUGCUUGGUUACUUUGAGUCUGAUCAUUCAUUCACAGAAGUGGUGUUUGUUGUACCAUACCAAAGCUUUCCGGUGGCUGCAGUUUGCAGUUUGCACGCCUUCUCGACAGAAAUGCAGCACGAGCACUAG
rnacentral:rRNA from 1 species